CAGCCGCCGCGGGAAUACAGAGGGUGCGAGCGUUAAUCGGAUUUACUGGGCGUAAAGCGUGCGUAGGCGGCUUUUUAAGUCGGAUGUGAAAUCCCCGAGCUUAACUUGGGAAUUGCAUUCGAUACUGGGAAGCUAGAGUAUGGGAGAGGAUGGUAGAAUUCCAGGUGUAGCGGUGAAAUGCGUAGAGAUCUGGAGGAAUACCGAUGGCGAAGGCAGCCAUCUGGCCUAAUACUGACGCUGAGGUACGAAAGCAUGGGGAGCAAACAGGAUUAGAUACCCCUGUAGUCCCUGUCUCUUAUAC
rnacentral:rRNA from 1 species